CAAGCCGGAUGAGUGGUUGCGGCUGCCAUUUGGCAGGUGAGGAAAGUCCGGGCUUCAUAGGGCAGGAUGCCGGAUAACGUCCGGUGGAGGUAACUCCCAGGCUAGUGCAACAGAAAUAUACCGCUAAUUAUUAUAUUAGUAAGGGUGGAAAGGCGAGGUAAGAGCUCACCGCUGUGCUGGUAACAGUACAGGCUCUGUAAACCCCAUCCGAAGCAAGACCAAACAUAAGACAAUGCAGUUGCCCGCUGGGUCUUUAGGUAGGUCGCUUGAGCAUCAUGGUAACAUGAUGCCUAGAUAGAUAAUCACUCUCGACAUAACCCGGCUUACAGUCCGACUUGCAUC
rnacentral:RNase_P_RNA from 1 species